GGAUGCGAUCAUACUAGCACUAAACCACCGGAUCCCAUCAGAACUCUGAAGUUAAGCGUGCUUGGGCGAGAGUAGUACUAGGAUGGGUGACCUCCUGGGAAGUCCUCUUUGUAGUGGAGC
rnacentral:rRNA from 1 species